AUCAUUACACAUUCAUCAGAAUGGCUUGGUUGGUGAAGAAAUUGGUGUGUGCCGUUCAUCAGUCCGAUGAAAAAAUGGAUAAAAAUCCCAAAAAGGAGAAGAAGAAGAACAAGAAGAGUGUCAAGUUUGCGCUGUGUUCUUCAGUGGAUGUGCUGGACUCGUCCAGUGCAGCUCCUGAAGACAGUGACAAACCACCCUCCUCUUCCUCCUCAGGCAAACGCAGAUUUCAAGGUCUGCGGUGCUUUUUUGGCAGAAUGCUGUCAUUCUGUCACAUGUCCGCAUCUUCUGAGCAGGAUAAGACGUCUUCCAUCCAGACUCAGAAGACCAGCGACCAGGAGAAAGAAGCAGUCAGAGCAGUAGUUGUAGACGGUUCUUCAUCACCUGCAGAUGUCAGAUUCUCAGAACAAAAACCGUCUGAGCUGCCGACUGCGAUUCAGGAGACUGAACCCAUCACAG
rnacentral:lncRNA from 1 species